AAAAUUAUAUGGGUUUAUAUUUUUAAUGCUCUAUCAGUUUAGGGGUUUCUGUGGGUUUUCUGUUGUUUUUUAACCCAAAAGUUGACUCACUAGUUUUCUUUCCUCUCUCCCUGCCCACAGGAGGUAACGAGACAUAUAAAACGAGGGAAAUACCACAUCCCCUCCUAUGUCUCCAGACAGUGCCAAAAACUUAUCAGGAGUUUACUAAUAAUAAAUCCAGGUGGCAGAAGCUCUCUCCAGAAAAUUAUGGAGGACGAGUGGCUCAACAUGGGACAUCUGGAGCCACUGGUGCCACACAGGCGAGUCAAGAGGAACAUGCAGGAUGAGAAACGCAUUGAGAUUCUGUUGAGGAUGGGGUACAGAAAGCAAGACAUUGAGGUGUCUCUGAAACAUCAGUGACCUGAUGAAAUCAGUGGCACCUAUAUGCUGUUAAAGGAAACAUCUGUUGAGAAUAACACAGCACCUGGUGGGACGCGAGUGGGAAGACAGCAUAGCACGGUUUAUAAUCCAGCACCGCCAGUUACUGCAGAAAAGAUUAAUAACCGUGUGACCACCACACCGCAACUCAACUCUGGACCAACAGCGAGUUGGCAUGGUUUUGCUCUGAAGCCACAGGAGCAGUAAAACACACCGUGUGAUGACUGCCCUGCCAUCAGAAGCCUUUCCAUUGGAGGGAAACUGCCGGUUAAAACUGCAAGUGGAGGCUCUGUUACCAUCAUUAAAUAAGGAGCAAAUUGAGGAGAUCUCCAGCUCCUUCUGGGAAGAUUCCCACCACUGUGGCCACCCCAGGAACCCAUGUCCCUAGUGGCCUUGAUCUCAACGCCACUUUCCAUGGUCAGCAUGGGGAGCAACCAAACCACAGCCUUCCUGCCUCUCCCAACCCGCUUCGCUCAACAACAUCACACCAGACCCAGAGCCCGGGUUUUUUCCAUAAAAUCCUGGCAAGGUUCAGAAUGAGGUAAGUGUCAGUGAUGUUAGUUUUGGAGGGAACAUAUAGAGCUUAAGGAAAAUGUUUUUUGCUGUUGUUGUUGCAUGAAGCCACCGCCCAGGUAUUUUUCAUUCUGCUUUCACUCAUGUUUUUCUGGUUUAUAUAUAUCUAACUUUAUAUGUUAAAACCAUUAAAAUAAA